GCCCAGACUCCUACGGGAGGCAGCAGUGGGGAAUAUUGCACAAUGGGCGAAAGCCUGAUGCAGCGACGCCGCGUGAGCGAUGAAGUAUUUCGGUAUGUAAAGCUCUAUCAGCAGGGAAGAAAAUGACGGUACCUGACUAAGAAGCCCCGGCUAACUACGUGCCAGCAGCCGCGGUAAUACGUAGGGGGCAAGCGUUAUCCGGAUUUACUGGGUGUAAAGGGAGCGUAGACGGCAUGGCAAGCCAGAUGUGAAAUACCGGGGCUCAACCCCGGGACUGCAUUUGGAACUGUUAAGCUGGAGUGUCGGAGAGGCAGGCGGAAUUCCUGGUGUAGCGGUGAAAUGCGUAGAUAUCAGGAGGAACACCGGUGGCGAAGGCGGCCUGCUGGACUGCAACUGACGUUGAGGCCCGAAAGCGUGGGGAGCAAACAGGAUUAGAUACCCGUGUA
rnacentral:rRNA from 1 species